AAUUUAAUAUAUCAAAAGGCCUGCUUUAGU
rnacentral:piRNA from 1 species